UGGGGAAUCUUGGACAAUGGGGGCAACCCUGAUCCAGCCAUGCCGCGUGAGUGAUGAAGGCCUUAGGGUCGUAAAGCUCUUUCGCCUGUGAAGAUAAUGACGGUAGCAGGUAAAGAAACCCCGGCUAACUCCGUGCCAGCAGCCGCGGUAAUACGGAGGGGGUUAGCGUUGUUCGGAAUUACUGGGCGUAAAGCGCACGUAGGCGGACCAGAAAGUUGGGGGGUGAAAUCCCGGGGGCUCAACCCCGGAACUGCCUCCAAAACUAUUGGUCUAGAGUUCGAGAGAGGUGAGUGGAAUUCCAAGUGUAGAGGUGAAAUUCGUAGAUAUUUGGAGGAACACCAGUGGCGAAGGCGGCUCACUGGCUCGAUACUGACGCUGAGGUGCGAAAGUGUGGGGGAGCAAAACAGGAUUAGAUACCCUGGUAGUCCACACCGUAAAACGAUGAAUGCCAGUCGUCGGGUAGCAUGCUAUUCGGUGACACACCUAACGGAUUAAGCAUUCCGCCUGGGGAGUACGGUCGCAAGAUUAAAA
rnacentral:rRNA from 1 species